UACGGGGGGGAGCAAGCGUUGUUCGGAUUUACUGGGCGUAAAGGGCGCGUAGGCGGUCAGCACAAGUCAGUUGUGAAAUCUCCGGGCUUAACCCGGAAAGGUCAACUGAUACUGUGCGACUAGAGUGCGGGAAGGGGCAACUGGAAUUCUCGGUGUAGCGGUGAAAUGCGUAGAUAUCGAGAGGAACACCUGCGGCGAAGGCGGGUUGCUGGGCCGACACUGACGCUGAGGCGCGAAGGCGUGGGGAGCGAACGGG
rnacentral:rRNA from 1 species